rnacentral:rRNA from 1 species
AGCGAACGCUGGCGGCGUGCCUAACACAUGCAAGUCGAACGUGAAAGGGAGCAAUCCUGAGUAAAGUGGCGAACGGGUGAGUAACGCGUAGAUAAUCUACCCUAGAGUCUGGGAUAACCUGCCGAAAGGCGGCUAAUACUGGAUAGAGCGAGGAACUUAUAGAGGGUUUUUCGGGAAAGGGAGGAAGCAAUUCCCUUCGCUUUAGGAUGAGUUUGCGUCUCAUUAGCUAGUUGGUGGGGUAAAAGCCUACCAAGGCGAUGAUGGGUAGCUGGUCUGAGAGGAUGAUCAGCCACACUGGAACUGAAACACGGUCCAGACUCCUACGGGAGGCAGCAGUGGGGAAUCUUGCGCAAUGGACGAAAGUCUGACGCAGCCACGCCGCGUGAGUGAAGAAGGCCUUCGGGUUGUAAAGCUCUGUCGAACGGGACGAAAAGGGGUGAGGUGAAUAGCCUCAUUCUGUGACGGUACCGUUAGAGGAAGCACCGGCUAACUCCGUGCCAGCCGCCGCCGUAA